AUCCUGUGAUCUGGGGUCUAAAUAGUGUUAUUUUUGUUGACCUCUUACCUGUGUGGAUUUCUUCUAGAUUUGGUAAAAGAAUCUUAUUCCAUCAAAAGCAAUCCUUAGCUUUAUUUCAAGAUUUCCCUUAGUAUGUAAACCAGAACAAGACCUAGAUCUGUGAGAUACUAUGUGAAAAAGGGUACAAUGGUCAAACAAUUUGGGGACGGUUUCUUGCUCCAUCCUCCUCCUAGAGAGUCCUGGUGGACCUGAGAUUUGGGGAAGAUGCAGACACACCGAACCCUAGUGUUGUUUACCUCUGGGGAUGCUAUUGGAGUAACAAAGCUUAGGCCUUCCCUGGCCUGUCCAGGAAUCGUGUCCAUUCUCAACUAUGAAUCCUGGAGAUUCCACCUCCUUCUAGUCUCCAGACAAUUCAACCCAGGACUGUUAUCAGACUCCAUGGACUCUCUGAGGAAAUGCUGCUUCAGAUGGAGGAGGAAGGACCUCUGGUGCCAGCUGGUUUUGCAGCUAUGA
rnacentral:lncRNA from 1 species